rnacentral:tRNA from 1 species
UAGCCUGUGACGCAGUGGUUAGCGUGUCGUUCUUAUAUUGUAUGCCCCUGGUGGCAUCCGGUAUGACUUCUUUCGAGGAAUGCGAAAGUCGCGAGUUCAAGUCUCGCCAGGAUCA